rnacentral:lncRNA from 1 species
GAUUUUUCCACUGUGUUUUUGAAAUACAUUUUAAUUCUCAACAAUCAGAAUGUUCUACUUUGUGCAAUGAAAUAUUUUGAUGACUAAAGAGGAUAAAGUCAGUGUUUGGCAAGGACCAAGAAAGGAUGUAUUCAAGGGGAAGGAUAAAAAUAGACGGUUUGUGAGGCUGUCCAACUCUGGUCAGAGCCCCUUAAAGGUAAAGCUCAAGCCUUCUAGUUUCAAAUUCAAAGUCUUCU